GUUGGAGCAGGGCUGGAACUGAAGUCUGCAGUGAGGCAGAAUCGUGAAUGAGGCACAAACAACAACAAGUGCUUCAACUUCCCCGGAGGAGCUUUUAUUGGUGCACAGUGAGAGAGAAACCUCCAAGGUGCAACAAUGGGGAAUGGCCUCAGGAUACCUUGUUGUGUUGUCGAGGAUGAUUAAUAUAUAUUCAUGACCUCGGGCAGAUCUAGGCAGCGGUUCUACCAGGUCCAUGCCAAUAUGCUCAAAGGGCACCUCAAUGAUUGUGAUCAGGUCGUUCCUCAUUUACGGUUCCUCAUUCUCCAGCCAUGUAUGAUUGGGGUUGCCAGGGGCAACGCUGACACUGGCAUGGACAAGAUUUACGAAAUAUAAAGUUUUGUGUGCUUGCCAUUUAACUUGAAUCCCACCCAACAGAUGUUUUUAAAGC